AGGACGAACGCUGGCGGCGUGCCUAAAACAUGCAAGUCGAACGAGAUAGCAAUAUCUAGUGGCGAACGGCGGAGUAAUACAUAAGCAACGUGCCCCCGAAGACUGGGAUAGCGGACCGAAAGGUCCAGUAAUACCGGAUGUGGCCCACUUAGGACAUCUUAGGUGGAUUAAAUGGUUUUUCGCUUCGGGAGCGGCUUAUGACCUAUCAGCUUGUUGGCGAGGUAACGGCUCACCAAGGCUACGACGGGUAGGGGGUCUGAGAGGAUGAUCCCCCCGAGUGGGACUGAGACACGGCCCACACACCUACGGGUGGCAGCAGUUGGGAAUCUUGCACAAGUGGGGGAAACCCUGAUGCAGCGACGCCGCGUGGAGGAUGACGGAUCGUAGGUCUAGUUAAACUUCCGUUUUGCGUAAGGAAAGUACGUUAAGGACCGUACCGUAGAACGAAGUAACGGACCGGACUAACGUACGUACG
rnacentral:rRNA from 1 species